UUACGAUGAAACAGGUUAUACCAAAAAAGAUUAAAAACACGGAUCCGGAUCACAAUUCAGUUUCAAUGAAAUUCCUGAAUCAAAAUUACCGCUACAUGAGAUAGCAGCAAUUUUGGGUAAUUCAACCGCAGUUAAUAUCUGCACGAACCACGUCAAAGUGCCAGUGGUUUUGCAGGGUCUUUUAUUAUAGACUCGUAUUAUCGUCAGUCUAGGAUAUAACACGUGGAGCAGAAAUCAGAGGCACAAAGUAACGCACGCACUUGAUAUAAUUAUAACCGAAACGAAAUCCCAUGUCGCUUUGUGUAUAAUAUCAACUGAGAAUUUCAACAAUUCGGGGACCUUCAGAACUUCACUCUACACCUUUCCUCUCAGCUCAUAUAGCUGAGCUCUUCGCUGUUAGAAACAGCCCUGGAAUAACACCUGGUGCCAUGUGCCUAAGCCUCGACACUCGACCGCCAGGUAUUUUGGGAAUGUCACUCGUGAUCCUUCGCAUCUCAAGGAUAAACUCAACUUCCUCCUCGGGCAUCAGAGACAAAGCCCAGGAGUUUAAUAAUCGAGGAAUGCCACCUUCGGUCAAAGCUCCACGGCCAUUGAUCUCUCACUCCAUCAUUACAGAAAUAGACGCCUAAUCGACUUACCGCAGAGCCACUCGAUAACGAUCCAAUUUCCAUCCCGAUUAAGGUCUGAUUACAAGUCCGAAAUGAUGUCAACAAACACCACGGAAAGAACCAACCGACUGGAAAGCACUGGCACGAAUGGUAUGUAACUCCAAUGAAAUUUUCAGAUUAUCCGUGA